GACGAACGCUGGCGGCGUGCUUAACACAUGCAAGUCGAACGGUAAGGCCCUUCGGGGUACACGAGUGGCGAACGGGUGAGUAACACGUGGGUGAUCUGCCCUGAACUUUGGGAUAAGCCUGGGAAACUGGGUCUAAUACCGGAUAGGAGCAUGCGCUUCACGGUGUGUGGUGGAAAGCUUUUGCGGGGUGGGCUGGGCCAGCGUGCUAUCAGCUGGUUGUUGGGGUGAUGGCCUACGAAGGCGACGACGGGUAGCCGGCCUGAGAGGGUGAUCGGCAACACUGGAACUGAGACACGGUCCAGACUCCUACGGGAGGCAGCAGUGGGGAAUAUUGCACAAUGGGGGAAACCCUGAUGCAGCAAUGCCGCGUGAGUGAUGACGGCCUUCGGGUUGUAAAGCUCUGUCUUCGGGGACGAUAAUGACGGUACCCGAGGAGGAAGCCACGGCUAACUACGUGCCAGCCGCCGCGGUAA
rnacentral:rRNA from 1 species